UACGUAGGGGGCAAGCGUUGUCCGGAUUUAUUGGGCGUAAAGAGCGUGUAGGCGGCCAGACAGGUCAGCUGUGAAAACUCGAGGCUCAACCUCGAGACGUCGGUUGAAACCGUCUGGCUAGAGUCCGGAAGAGGAGAGUGGAAUUCCCGGUGUAGCGGUGAAAUGCGCAGAUAUCGGGAAGAACACCCGUGGCGAAGGCGGCUCUCUGGGACGGUACUGACGCUGAGACGCGAAAGCGUGGGGAGCGAACAGGA
rnacentral:rRNA from 1 species